AGACCAGGUCCGGAUGCUGCGAGUGCUGCGCCUGUCCCGGGACCCUCGACCGGGCGACUCCCCCGGGGCGGGGGUGGCGUGUGGUCUCUAGACAACUGAGGGAAAGUAGACAGACCGUGCUCACCGAUUUAAAAGAACAGCCCUGAAAUGACCCCCGUUACACCCUGUUCUCUUUAGACAAGUUACUUCCACCUGGAGCGGUUUCUGGGCCCGGGUAUGGGGAUUUCUUCACCCGGCCCCCUAGGCUUUCACCUCGGUGGAAUUUCCCGCGCCCCCGCUGGGAUGAUUUAGGGACUGUUGGCUAGAACUGCCCUUGCCUACCGCCCUACUGCGGGCGCUCCCCUGUCUGGGGGGUGCUUGGCUGGGUGUGGAGAAGGAUCAAUCACAGCUGACUCCUCAGAGGUGACAGCCCCUGCCCCCUUAAAAACAAGAAAAGACCUAGCAGUGUGAAGCCAAACUGCACCCCCAGCCCCGGUGACAUGAGGAAACCGUGAGGCGCUCAGCCUGAGGUUCAUCGUUCAUCUCCUUCCUGCUUGGAAUCAGAAUGUCCUCACUGCUGAGUUUCUCCGUUUUAUGGGAUUACAUUAGUGGACAAAGGAGUGAAGCAAAGCAGCACUGAGCUCCUCCAAGUAAAGAAAGAAUUGUUUUCUGUACAACCUGGAGCUGAAUCAUAGAAGGAGAAGACAGCUUGAAAGAUAAGAGGCCGUAAGGCAGACCACAGAGGAUGGGGAGGAUUUCCCCAGCACCCCAGCCCCCAUAGUCAGCUCUGGUUCAGCGAUUUCAGCAACUCUUUCAUGACCCAUCUGAUUUUGUUUUAUCCCAGCCCUGCAGAGAAAGGACUCUGCAGGUCAGGACUUGCUUCUUCAACAGACAAAAACUCCUCUGCCAGAAAAGUUGGAGAAACUAGUUUAGAAAGUCGGAGGAUGUGAAGAAGUCUGCCUUUGUUCUGGGGACCUUGGUGGGAGAUGAGGGUGGGCUGGUGGAGACGAGGGUGAGAAUGAACCUUGCCGCAGACCCUUUGGGCUCCAUGCAGAGCUGGCUGCAGAAGAGGAAGGAAAGGAAAUUGGCCAGCUGCUGUCUCUGUGACUGGACCUGGGCCAAUCAAGAAACUGAGAGGAGCAGGGCCAGCCGGCUGUUGUGCCUCAAACUUAGGCAGAAACAAGCAAAGGCAAGGAUUUGGGGCUCUGAGUCACCCUCUCUGGAGGAACAAGAGCUUAGAGGAGGAAAUCACUUUUUAAGCUCCCUUUACUUUUACACACACGUUUUUAUUCCAGUAAAUUCAAACUAAAGAGGAAGAAGUCAUGAAAGGGCAGCUGCCACCUCAGGCCAUGGUGGCGGAGACAAAGGCUAUGGGCCGGUGUAGACGUCUAAGAAACCAACAGGAAGUCCCAGCCGGAAACACAGAAAGGAUAUGGAGAAAAUUAUUAUUCUGCCCCUACAGUUUCGGUGACCCAGAUGGGAUCUCUGGGACACCCUGCCUGCUCUACAAUUGGGAUCCCUGGAAAAGUGACAGAAUCUGGCAACAGCCCCCACCUAGGAACUGACUCAGAGCAAGAAGACAGCUCCGACUCCCUGUGAUUUCAUCCCUGACCAAUCAGCUCUUCUAGCUCACUGGCUUCCCCCAACCCACGAAGUUGUCCUUAAAAACUCUGCUCCCGACUGCUGGGAGAGACUGAUUUGAGUAAUAAUAAAACUGGUCUCCUGCACAGCCAGCUCUGCAUUAAUUAGUCUUUAUUGCAAUUCCCCUGUCUUGAUGAAUUGGCUCUUUCUAGGAGGCGAGCAAGGUGAACCCCUUGGGUAGUUACAGUCAGGCAGCUGUCACACUGCCUCUCUAAAAUAACAACUGGUCCUAACCACUGCCAGGGAAAGGCAGUCUCCCUAUAGAUAAAAAAAACCCCUGAAACUGGUGAUCAGCAUCUUCCUGAUAAGAUCUCAGGAGUUGGGCAAGUGAGCUCAAGCAUGCACAUUAAGAGGCAAAAUGGCGGAGUUUAACUGGUAUAUGACCUUUCUGGGGUAUUCCACCAGAAAAGGAAUGCAAGAUGCUGGAAGUAAGCCGACAUAUAAAGCCCCAAGUCAAAAGGUCAAACCUGGCUGGGCACAGUGGCUCACACCUAUAAUCCUAGCACUUUGGGAGGCCGAGGCAGGCAGAUCACUUGAGGUCAGAAGCUUGAGACC
rnacentral:lncRNA from 10 species